GGACCCGCACAAGUAGUGGAGCAUGUGGUUUAAUUCGAAGAUACGCGCAGAACCUUACCAACACUUGACAUGUUUGUCGCGACUUUAAGAGAUUAAAGUCUUCGGUUCGGCCGGACAAAACACAGGUGCUGCAUGGCUGUCGUCAGCUCGUGUCGUGAGAUGUUGGGUUAAGUCCCGCAACGAGCGCAACCCUCACUUUUAGUUGCCACCAUUUAGUUGGGCACUCUGAAAGAACUGCCAGUGAUAAGCUGGAGGAAGGUGGGGAUGACGUCAAGUCCUCAUGGCCCUUACGUGUUGGGCUACACACGUGCUACAAUGGCAUUUACAAUAGGAAGCAAGACGGCGACGUCAAGCAAAUCCUAAAAAGAUGCCUCAGUUCGGAUUGUACUCUGCAACUCGAGUACAUGAAGCUGGAAUUACUAGUAAUCG
rnacentral:rRNA from 1 species